rnacentral:lncRNA from 1 species
AUUGGGCCCCGGCAUGGCAUCCGUGCUUGUGACGAAGAUGCUGGCGUCUGCCCUGAGCCCUCUGCUCCGUUGGAGCCCUCCCCUGGCGAUGCCCCGCGCGCUCUCCACUCUCCUGCCCGGAUCCCAUCGCGCUGCCGGUGCUGCUGGUGCGAAGCCCAGGGCGUGGGAGCUCGCGGGACUGCCCGGCCGCCUGCUGCCCGGCCUGCAGCUGCCCAGCCUACAGCUUGCCCUGGGGUUCAAGACCAAGGGCGUCAUCAAGGAGCGCUGCAAGGACUGUUACCGGGUGAAGAGGCGCGGCCGCUGGUUCAUCUACUGCAAAACGAACCCAAAGCACAAGCAGAGACAGAUGUAGUUCCCAUCACUAAAAUGACGUGCGAAACUGCAUCACUUCCUUGCGGAAUGGUACCGUCUAUCCACAGAAAAAUAAAAUGUAAACAUUACCUAAUCGACCUUCAGGUCUUCUUGACUCUGCUACCCAGGCAUGUCACCUGUAGCAGCCCAGUCCCAUCAGCUAUGCAAGCAGAGCCCCAGUACGGGAAAUGCACCGUUUUAUCUUCUGUGCAUGCUGUGUGCACUCGGGCUGGAGGGCAGAAGUAGUGUCUCCACUCUCCUGGAGAGAGUGACCAGCACGUCCGUGUGGGGGGAGGGCGCGGGGACACUCCCCAUCCGGGACGGCAUCUUCCCGGUCCUCACGCCAGAGACCAGCAGUGAGCAAGGAUCAGCUUCUCACAGCCAUCGAGCGGCCAGGCCGCCAGCUGGGUGGGCGAGGGGAGGCAGAGCUCCGAGAGGCCCACUGUGCCCACCAAGGUGUCUCCCACUCGCCCCGUGCCUUUGGGCACACAGGCCACGGGACCACGAUUUGUAUCCAGCCUGGGAGUUCUCACGGACAGCCCAACGUGCUCCCCUCUGAGGCUGGGGUGUCCUGCGUGUGA